rnacentral:rRNA from 1 species
GACGAACGCUGGCGGCGUGCUUAACACAUGCAAGUCGAACGCUGAAGCUCAGCUUGCUGGGUGGAUGAGUGGCGAACGGGUGAGUAACACGUGAGUAACCUGCCCUCUUCUUUGGGAUAACGCCCGGAAACGGGUGCUAAUACUGGAUAUUCACUGAUUCUCGCAUGGGGGUUGGUGGAAAGGUUUUUUCUGGUGGGGGAUGGGCUCGCGGCCUAUCAGCUUGUUGGUGGGGUGAUGGCCUACUAAGGCUUUGACGGGUAGCCGGCCUGAUGGGGUGACCGGUGACAUUGGGACUGGGAUACGGCCCAGACUCCGACGGGAGGCAGCAGUGGGGAAUAUAGCACAAUGGGCGAAAGCCUGAUGCAGCGACGCCGCGUGAGGGAUGGAGGCCUUCGGGUUGUAAACCUCUUUCGCUCAUGGUCAAGCCGCAGCGUUGGGUUGUGGUGAGGGUAGUGGGUAAAGAAGCGCCGGCUAACUACGUG